AACCUUACCUACUCUUGACAUCCAGAGAACUUAGCAGAGAUGGAUUGGUGCCUUCGGGAACUCUGAGACAGGUGCUGCAUGGCUGUCGUCAGCUCGUGUUGUGAAAUGUUGGGUUAAGUCCCGCAACGAGCGCAACCCUUAUCCUUUGUUGCCAGCGGUCCGGCCGGGAACUCAAAGGAGACUGCCAGUGAUAAACUGGAGGAAGGUGGGGAUGACGUCAAGUCAUCAUGGCCCUUACGAGUAGGGCUACACACGUGCUACAAUGGCGCAUACAAAGAGAAGCGACCUCGCGAGAGCAAGCGGACCUCAUAAAGUGCGUCGUAGUCCGGAUUGGAGUCUGCAACUCGACUCCAUGAAGUCGGAAUCGC
rnacentral:rRNA from 1 species